CGGCAGCCGCGGAGCUUUGAGUUGCUGCCGUAACACGGACCUUAUUUUUGAUGGAUAGUGUGUCUCUAAACGGAGGCUGACCUUUGAACUCUAACGGAGGAGGUCAGUGACGGCAUGUCGCCCCCUGCUGGCAUGGAGCGCUGUGAUUGACAGCGAGGACAGAUGCUGUCGUCUAAACAGGGGCCAUCACAAGAACGCUGCAUUACUAUUGGGACGCUCGUAUGACAUCAACCUUCAAACAGGAAGUCCACUCACUGUGGAAUCUUUUCCCGGUGGAAGUUCGUGUGGGAGCCGCAACAGAGUUGGGACAAUUAGCGGUCGUUUGUGUGGAAAGCCAUCGCCGCUGUCAAUCAGAUGUUUAUCGGAGGAGGUGAUUUCCGGGAUAAACGUGCAGGACUUUUCUUAACGAGCGGCAGCACAAAGACGACCUGGACGGAUUCUACCCGGCAGCAAGAGACCAGCCGCACAAAGACAAGACACAGGCGCUGCCCGCACAGGUGAAAAAGAAUGUACCUGCAAAAUGGCCACCUCGUUACGCAGCUGACUUUCUUGUUUCGUGGGAAAACGAAGUUUGUCAAUGAUCUUGAUGGCCACGUCGCGGCUGGACUUCCUGUGCUUGCCUGUCAACACACACCACGAACGUCCAUGUUGAAAUGUGCUCGAUUCCCAUGUGGUGACCACAGCUGCCCAAGGGGAGCCCAGUGUGGGGUUUUUUCAUAGGGGCCCAAAAUUCUCACAGAUACUCAACAAAGAGUUUCACCCACUCACAGGUAUUCAACUGGGACUUGAUGUGGUGACGACAGCUGCCCAGGGAAGCCUAAUUCCCGAAGAAUUCCUGGUGGUGCCUUUGCUCACGGGCUUGACUAAGACUGGAGUUCCACGGACUCACAGGUGCUUGACCAAGACUCGAGUCUCAGCCACUCACAGGUGCUCAACAAAGACUUGAGUUUCACGGACUCACAGAAGAAGACUCGCGUUUCACUGACUCGCGGGUACUUGGAGAAGACUCCAGUUUCACUGACUCACAGAAGAAGACUCAAGUUUCACUGACUCACGGGUACUUGGAGAAGACUCGUUUCACUGACUCACAGAAGAAGACUCUAGUUUCACUGACUCACGGGUACUUGGGAAAGACUCGUUUCACUGACUCACAGGUACUUUAAGAAGACUCCAGUUUCACUGACUCACAGGUACUUUAAGAAGACUCCAGUUUCACUGACUCACAGGUACUUUAAGAAGACUCAAGUUUCACUGACUCACAGGUAAUUGGAGAAGACUCAGGUUUCGCUGACUCAUGGGUACUUGGAGAAGACUCAAGUAUCACUGACUCACAGGUACUUAAGACUCAAAUGUUACUGACUCGCAGGUUCUUGGAGAAGACUCAGGUUUUACUGACUCACAGGUACUUGGAAAAGACUACAGUUUCACUGACUUACAGGAGAAGACUUGAGUUUCACUGACUCACAGGUGCUUUAAGAAGACUCCAGUUUUACUGACUCAUGGGUACUUGGAGAAGACUCGAGUUUCAUUGACUCACAGGAGAAGACUCGAGUAUCACUGACUGACAGGUACUUAAGACUCAAAUGUUACUGACUCACAGGUUCUUGGAGAGGACUCCAGUUUUACUGACUCACAGGUACUUGGAGAAGACUCAGGUUUUACUGACUCACAGGUACUUGGAGAAGACUGAGGUUUUACUGACUCACAGGUACUUGGAGAAGACUCAGGUUUCACUGACUCACAGGAGAAGACUCAAGUUUCACUGACUCACGGGUACUUUGAGAAGACUCGAGUUUCACUGACUAACAGGUACUUGGAGAAGACUCCAGUUUCACCGACUCACAGGAUAAGACUCAAGUUUCACUGACUCACGGGUACUUUGAGAAGACUCGAGUUUCACUGACUCACAGGUUCUUGGAGAAGGCUCCAGUUUCACCGACUCACAGGUACUUUUAAGAAGACUUGAGUUUCACUGACUCGCGGGUACUUGGAGAAGACUCGAGUUUCAUUGAUUCACGGGUACUUGGAGAAUACUCGAUGUUCAUGAACUCACCCGUGCUGGACAGACUCCACCCGAUCUUGCUGUGCUGCUAGUGCGUUACUAGUGUACCGUGUUGCCAGAUGUACGAUGAGGAUUAAGUAUGACAAUUGAUACAGUUUUUACGAUUCUGAUUCCAUUCCAGUGGGUUCUUCAGAGUCUAGAGUCCCCAGAAAACUCCCCAGGGUGUCCAGUAAAAUGAUUCUCCUAAAAGUUCCAGUGUUUUGAAGGACAGGAAGCUAAUGCUAGUGAGACGACUUUGCAUGUCUUCAUGCCACUUGCAUGCAUGCUAGCUAAGCUAAUUCAUUAGCCCUCUUGAUUGAUUGAUUGAUUGACAGAAAAGCAUCCUCUGAGAGACUGUCCCUAAUUUAUGAAUUUAAUUUAAUUGCCCCAACAUUUGAAUAUUUGUUGUUAUUUGUGUCUGCCGAGGAAACAAAGGCUAGCUACUCUUGCUUCUUCCAACAGGAAGUCCACAAGUGAGUCAGCGCAAACACACGCACACGCACACGCACACGCAACGAUGGUCGAAUGAAGUUAAGGCGCGUUACCAAGACAACACACUUUGAUCCUGAACUUUCACCCCAUCCACGCGCGGCAUCCAUGUUGUCACGUCACAGCUCGUGCGCUAGUAGUGAAAUAAGUUGUUACCUUCUGGUCCACGAUGUUACACGCCGCUUCCCGAACCUGAGCCAGGCUCAGCUCCGCCGAGUCCAGCAAAACCGGUUCGCGGCUCAAUCCGAUCUGGAUAUGGAACGAGAUCACGCCCCCCCCUGCCGGCGCACCGGGACCGGGGCAGCUGCCCCCCCCUGAGAACGACGGGAGCGGGCUGGGGGCGCGGAUGAGCG